UACGUAGGGGGCAAGCGUUGUCCGGAAUCAUUGGGCGUAAAGAGCGCGUAGGCGGCCCUGUAAGUCCGCUGUGAAAGUCAAGGGCUCAACCCUUGGAUGCCGGUGGAUACUGCAGGGCUAGAGUCCGGAAGAGGCGAGUGGAAUUCCCGGUGUAGCGGUGAAAUGCGCAGAUAUCGGGAGGAACACCUGCGGCGAAGGCGGGUUGCUGGGCUGACACUGACGCUGAUGCGCGAAAGCCAGGGGAGCGAACGGG
rnacentral:rRNA from 1 species